ACGGGGUGUGCUGCGGCACCCAUUGCCUAGGGAAAAAACCCGGAUGUAAAGUGAGUGAAACUAAACUAGAGUGAAGUAGGGCAGCAGCAGCCAAACUCCGGUGCAGCGGCGGCGGCGGCGCUGGGGCCGAGCGGCCGCCAAACUCCCGGCCCGCCGCCGCGCCGCAGCCCGGCCAGGCCCGAGCCCCGGUCCCCUCCCGCCGUCGGGAGCUGCUGGGGGGCUCCCGAGCAGCCCCAACUCCCUCCAGUGCAACAGCAGUUUGCAGGGGUGGGGGUAGAAAAGAAGGCAGGAGCGAGGAGGAAGCACUGCAAUGGGGGAGCGAGUGGGCAGAGAGGUUAAGUAGCCUGCCCCAGGGCACACAGCUAGCUGGUGUCAAUGCCAGAAUCCCAACCUAGGCUGUCUGUUCUCUUGUAAUCCUCAAGCCAACCCGUUAAGGUCGGGAGCGUUCUCUCCAUCUUAUUGAUGAGGAAAACAAGGCACAUGGAAAUUUAAGUACCUUGCCCAAGGUCACCUAGCUGGAUGAGGCAGAAAGCGAACCCAGGGCUCCUCUCUGUCCGCAGAACCCUCGGUCUUGGCCAUAGGCGAUGCCACUUCCAAACCACCUCCGACCGCCCCGCAGGCUUCUGCCCGGGUUUCCGGGAGGCAAAAGCAGCCCCAGGUGGGUUUGGGUAGGUUCCUGCAGCCUCCGCUCUGCUGAUGAACCGGGUGUUUUAGAGCAGCGUCCUUGCUCUGCCUUCAGGCGUAGGAUGGGGACGCCUCUCCUGGAAUCCAGUCCCAGACCAGGCUGCGCGAUCACGGGAAGGGACGGAGCGGGGGCGGAGGCAGCAGAAAGGAUCCGGAGUCCCAUUUGACCAGCCGUGGGGCCAGGCUCCAGAUUUGCCCUCCCCGAGGCCGGCAGAGGGCGCUGCCGCACGCGCAUGGAGUUUCACUACUGUCAGCUCUGCCUACAAACACUUGCAGAGGCUUUCCUUCUUCAGAAACCUUGGCGGCUCGGCCGCGGCUUGCUGUCUGAUGCAACAGUUUGCAACGCGGGUUCAGGGAGUGGAGGCCUGCGGUGCGGCACACAAGCUCGGCCGAAGCGCAUGCGCAGGCUGCGCCUUGCCCCGCCCCGCGGCGGGAAGCUUUUCUCCAGAUGUGCGGGGCGGGGAUGGGGGCGGAGCCAGAGGCGCAGAGACCUUUGGCAGCUCGCGCCUGCGAUCUGAGCUGAAUUAGACUUCGGAGGCAUUGGCUGACUGACCCAGUGAUCCAAAAAAAAAAAAAAAAAUCAGAGAGGCCGAAAUCGCCACAAACGUGCCUGGAGAGAGAAGUUGAAGAGCUAGCUGGCUUUUGAGUCGGCCUCCCUUUCCGAGCCUCCGGAUCUCUGAUGCUGUACCACCUGAACAUUUUAUUUGUGGGAGGGGACAAGUCACGUCAAUAUGUUCACAAAAAUUGCAGCUAUCACGAUUGUCUCCCAUAUUCACAUUGGUCCUGUAUUUUAGAUUUUAAUUGACUUUUAUUUUAUUAACUGUUUCUCUAAAUUAACUUUAAAUUGAUUCCCUUUUUUAUGUAUCCUUGCCUUAAGCGAUAACAUUAGAGAAACCACAGACUGAAAAUAAACUCAGAAUUACUGUCUCGAAAAACCAAAGAAAAAAAAUUGUUUUCUUGUUAGCUAAAAUUGGCUUACCUACCAUAUCGGGGGUGUCUAGCAGUAAUAAUAACCAUUGUAUUAAGGCUUUGUCAACAUUCCCAGGACUAGUCUAAACACUGAACACAUUCUAUUGCUUCAUGAUGCCCUAGGAAGUGUUUGUUUUCUACAUUUUUACAAGGAAAGGAAGGCCCAGAGAAGUUAAGAAAUUUGCCUGAGAUCACAGAGCCAGGAGGCAAACUCCAUUAGCCUGAUUCCAG
ensembl:lncRNA